rnacentral:rRNA from 1 species
CAGCCGCCGCGGUAAUACGUAGGUCCCGAGCGUUGCCCGGAUUUAUUGGGCGUAAAGCGAGCGCAGGCGGUUAGAUAAGUCUGAAGUUAAAGGCUGUGGCUUAACCAUAGUACGCUUUGGAAACUGUCUAACUUGAGUGCAAGAGGGGAGAGUGGAAUUCCAUGUGUGGCGGUGAAAUGCGUAGAUAUAUGGAGGAACACCGGUGGCGAAAGCGGCUCUCUGGCUUGUAACUGACGCUGAGGCCCGAAAGCGUGGGGAGCAAACAGGAUUAGAUACCCCCGUAGUCCCUGUCUCUUAUACA